GAAAAGGAUGAAAAGCUUUCGCUUUUCAUCCUUUUAAACAACUUUAAGCAAUGGAUCUCUUGGCUCUCGCAUCGAUGAAGAGCGUAGCAAAUUGCGAUAAUUAGUGCGAUCUGCAUUCUGCGAAUCAUCGAGUUCUUGAACGCACCUUGCACCCUUUGGCUUGUCCUUUGGGUAUGCUUGUUUCAGUACAAUCUACCCCGAGACUGGAGUAUUAUUCUCUUGGUAGAGGUUUGGGAUGUCAAGCGCAAUGCUUCCGCAUCCUUAAGCAUGAAAUCCAUUGGAUUAAAACUCGUGUUUUGUUUCCUUUGCAUCAAUUUUCUUAUGAAAAGCAUUGGGUCAACAACACUGUUAGUAUACAUGUC
rnacentral:misc_RNA from 1 species